GACGAAGGGGGCUAGCGUUGUUCGGAAUUACUGGGCGUAAAGCGCGUGUAGGCGGUUGCCCAAGUCGGGUGUGAAAGCCUUGAGCUCAACUCAAGAAAUGCACUCGGUACUGGGUGACUAGAGGACCGGAGAGGAUAGUGGAAUUCCCAGUGUAGUGGUGAAAUACGUAGAGAUUGGGAAGAACACCUAUGGCGAAGGCAGCUCUCUGGGACGGUACUGACGCUGAGACGCGAAAGCGUGGGGAGCGAACAGG
rnacentral:rRNA from 1 species